rnacentral:rRNA from 1 species
AACGAACGCUGGCGGCGUGCUUAACACAUGCAAGUCGAGCGGUAAGGCCCUUUCGGGGGUACGACGAGCGGCGAACGGGUGAGUAACACGUGGGUGACCUGCCCUCAGCUCUGGGAUAAGCCCGGGAAACUGGGUCUAAUACCGGAUAUGACUCCAUGACGCAUGUUGUGGGGUGGAAAGCCUUGUGCGGCUGAGGAUGGGCCCGCGGCCUAUCAGCUUGUUGGUGGGGUGAUGGCCCACCAAAGGCGACGACGGGUAGCCGGCCUGAGAGGGCGACCGGCCACACUGGGACUGAGAUACGGCCCAGACUCCUACGGGAGGCAGCAGUGGGGAAUCUUGCGCAAUGGGCGAAAGCCUGACGCAGCGACGCCGCGU